rnacentral:SRP_RNA from 1 species
GCUGGGCAUGGUGGUGCGUGCCUGUAAUCCCAGCUACUCGGGAGGCUGAGACAGGAGAAUUGUUUGAACUUAGGAGGUGGACGUUGCAGUGAGCCGGGAUUGUGCCACUGCACUCCAGCCUGGGCGACAGAGCAAGACCCUGUUUCAU